UGGAAACAUCUAAACCAAUCAGUACAAAAUCCAGACAAACAGACAGCAGUCAAUAUCAACCAGACAGAUAAAACCAAUGUACAACACAAAAGCCAUAAGUCAAACUCAAAUGACUUAUCAUCAACCUACAAAACAACAAGUGUUAGCAAUCAAAAGCAAACAUCAACAUCUAAAUGAUGAAGCAUCAUCACCCAUGGCAUUUGAAUGCUUAACCUGAAAUUCAAAGCUCACAUGUAAGUAUACACAAC
rnacentral:lncRNA from 1 species